ACGAGAUCAUGGUUUUCGGAUUAUGUUCUAGUGGCGGACGGCUGAGUAACACGCAAGUAACCUACCUGCAAGAGGGGAAUAACCUGCCGAAAGGCAGGCUAAUACCGCAUGAUAUAAACGGGUGAUGCCCGUUUAUUAAAGCCUUACGGCGCUUGCAGAUGGGCUUGUGGCCUAUCAGGUAGUUGGUGGGGUAAAGGCCUACCAAGCCGAUGACGGGUAGCUGGUCUGAGAGGAUGGUCAGCCAGAUGGGGAUUGAGAUACGGCCCCAACUCCUACGGGAGGCAGCAGCAAGGAAUAUUGGGCAAUGGGCGAAAGCCUGACCUAGCGACACCGCGUGAGGGAUGACGGCCUUCGGGUUGUAAACCUCUUUUCUCAAGGAAGAAGUUUGACGGUACUUGAGGAAUAAGCCUCGGCUAACUACGUGCCAG
rnacentral:rRNA from 1 species